GCUUGUCUCAAAGAUUAAGCCAUGCAUGUCUAAGUAUAAACUGCUUAUACUGUGAAACUGCGAAUGGCUCAUUAAAUCAGUUAUAGUUUAUUUGAUGGUACCUACUACUCGGAUAACCGUAGUAAUUCUAGAGCUAAUACAUGCACAAAGGCCCGACUCACGAAGGGCUGUAUUUAUUAGAUUUAAAGCCGACAUCUUUUGGUGAUUCAUAAUAACUCGCGGAUCGGUUUACCGAUGCAUCAUUCAAGUUUCUGCCCUAUCAGCUUUGGAUGGUAGGGUAUUGGCCUACCAUGGCUUUAACGGGUAACGGAGAAUUAGGGUUCGAUUCCGGAGAGGGAGCCUGAGAAAUGGCUACCACAUCCAAGGAAGGCAGCAGG
rnacentral:rRNA from 1 species